rnacentral:rRNA from 1 species
CACGUAGCUUAACCUGCNGUUCGCGGGGUAACAGAGCUGUUUACAGUUGCUGACNACCGGCGCACGGGUGCGUAACGCGUAUAUAACCUGCCUUACACAGGAGGAUAGCCCCGAGAAAUUGGGAUUAAUACUCCAUGGUAUUUAGAUUUCGCAUGAGAUUUAAAUUAAAACUCCGGUGGUGUAAGAUGGAUAUGCGUAUGAUUAGCUAGAUGGUGAGGUAACGGCUCACCAUGGCGACGAUCAUUAGGGGUCCUGAGAGGGUGAUCCCCCACACUGGUACUGAGACACGGACCAGACUCCUACGGGAGGCAGCAGUGAGGAAUAUUGGGCAAUGGAGGCAACUCUGACCCAGCCAUACCGCGUGAAGGAUGAAGAUUCUAUGGAUUGUAAACUUCUUUUAUAUACGAUGAAUAAGAGCUACGUGUAGCUUGAUGACAGUAGUAUAUGAAUAAGGACCGGCUAACUCCGUGCCAGCAGCCGCGGUAAUACGGAGGGUCCAAGCGUUAUCCGGAUUUAUUGGGUUUAAAGGGUCCGUAGGCGGAUUAAUAAGUCAGUGGUGAAAUCCUGCAGCUCAACUGUAGAACUGCCAUUGAAACUGUUAGUCUUGAAUUAUUUUGAAGUUGGCGGAAUGAGUANUGUANC